CAAACCUGUCUCUCCAGAGCUUAUCUUCUGUGAAGGUCCUGCUGCAGGUGGACCAGCCUCAGUCUGUGCUUUACAGGGCUCAACCCGGGCACACUCACAGGAUGGAAGCCAAUACAUCUACCCUCAAGACUGGGGAGGAGCUCUGGCCAGGAGGCAGACCACCCU
rnacentral:lncRNA from 1 species